UACAUGGGCUGUUAUUUCAUGGAGUGUACCUAGUUAUAUUCCAUCAGACUAUCCCAUCACAUAUGAGAUAGGGUAUCAUGUCUUGUUGUCUGACAACUGUACGAUGGCAGAAGGUACUAAUUUCAAUUUUCAAACUUUGAAGCUUUUUAGUAGUGUCAGUUCAUUUACUAACAUUACCGGUCUUAAUAAAACCAGUUGCUAUAUUUUUGGUGUACGUGCAUAUACUGUUAAAGGGCAUGGGAACUGGAAACUUAUUGUUAAUAAAACAAUAGAAUUGCCUUCUCUUCAAGCAGUUACAGUUACAUAUAUUAUAACUUCAACAUCAGCUACUACUUCUUGUGACUGCGAUAUUGCUUUUGCAAUGAGUGGACUAGUAGGUGUAUUGUUUACUAUGUUGACUGUCAGCAUUGUUAUCAAUAUCUGUUAAAUUAUUUCACGUAUUAAAUCUAUUAAGGUAAAUAAUAUACAUAGAAGAACUGAUCAAGAUAUUGCAAUGCAAGUAUGUGAACCAUAUGAUCUUCACAAGACUGAACUAAGUGAAAUGGUGCCUGAUGCUGUUUAUGAGACUAUGGCACAAUGACUUGUU